CUCAAACCCCGAUGUCAGCAGGGGCCACACGCCCACCAGAAGCCCGCGGGGGAGAACCCUGCUCGUCUCUGGCUAACGCUGGCCGUCAGCAUCCCCGGUGGUCAACCCUCCCGUCUCUGCCUCGGACUUCACGUGGCCUUCUCCUCUGUGUGUGUGUGUCUCCUCCCGUCUCCUAGAAAGACUUGUCAUUGAAUUCAGGGUCCACCUGAAAAGUUCAGGAUGAUCAUCUCAAGAUCCUUGAUGACAUCGACGAAAACCCCGUUUCUACAUAAGGGAUGUUGACAGGUUCUGGGCGUUAGGACGUGGACGGGUCUUCUCAGGGGUCACUGUUCAGCUCACUCCAGAUAGCGUUAACAGAAUCCUUUUCCAGAGCACUUCUGUGGCCCAGGGACUGUUCUCAGUGCUUUCCUCCACUGGCCCACCUCACCUUCAUGCUUGUGGGGUGGGCACCAACAUUACCCCGUUCGCAGGGUGUCCUGCAGGGACAGAGCACCCGCCUCUGACCACGUAAGUGUACGAGCUCAUGCCCAGUCCCAGCAUACAGUGGGUACUCAAUAGAAGCUUGGAGAAUGAAUGACGGAUGAACCAUUCAGCUGGGAAGGCCCUUCUCUGCUCUGGAACCCCCUCUGUCGGGCAUGAGGAGUCCAGGCUUUGUCUAUAUGUUCUUCCUGACAUCAUACCUCGCAUACCGUACCCCCCACCCAGAGGGGACAGAUGGGAGACCCUGGCUGCCUCCUAGCCCGGCCCUCUGAGGGCAACGUACAAAAGACGGCCAGUUUUCGUAUGUAUCUGGAGACUCACAAACUCUCAAUCAAGCCAAAACCAGCUGCGGAAGUAAACAGAAAAAGGAUACGUUCAAAACAGUAGAAUUGAAAAUCCCACCCACAGCCGCAGUUUCGUGUGACUGCAAAUCAGCAAAACACCGAAGGUGACCGAAUUUAAUUACUGUCGCUCAUGUCUGGGUGUCUGUUGAGGCACCAAUAACGUUUAGAUGGGAAAUAAAGACACAGGUAACUCA